GUGUCAGCAGCCGCGGUAAGACGAACCGUGCGAACGUUGUUCGGAAUCACUGGGCUUAAAGGGCGCGUAGGCGGGCCGCCAAGUCAGGGGUGAAAUCGUUCGGCUUAACCGGACAAGUGCCUCUGAUACUGGCGGCCUCGAGGGGGGUAGGGGCCUGCGGAACUUCCGGUGGAGCGGUGAAAUGCGUAGAUAUCGGAAGGAACGCCGGUGGCGAAAGCGGCGGGCUGGACCCCUUCUGACGCUGAGGCGCGAAAGCCAGGGGAGCGAACGGGAUUAGAAACCCCCGUAGUCC
rnacentral:rRNA from 1 species